GAAGCUCAAACAGCAGCAUCAGCACAGAUCUCAGAGCUGCGUCAAUGUUUCCUCUUUUCUGCUCAGAUUCAGAAAAUCACACAUCCAGAAAACUGCUGGAGCCUCAGAAAUCACAGAGCAGCAGAAAACAAGAAGACAGAGAGAGAAAUGGAGACACAAACCAGUGGAUCACAAGAGAGAAGAGGAGAGACACGUGAUAGAUGCCACAGUAUGGAGAUAAUGAAGCCAAUCUUCUCAGAUGAUCCUGUAAAGAUUGAUUCUGAUGUCAAAACUGAGGAGAGAUUCUCUCAUCAAAACCUUCAUCAUGAUCUCAAGAACACACAACAUCACUGAUGAAGAGCUGAACAUCAUCAUCAUCAUCAUCCUCAUUGUCACAGACUCCAUCCCUUUCCUGGAUUCUGGAAGAUUUUACACACUAAAUGACAAACAACCAGACUGAGGGACCAUUUACACGACACCAUUUUCAACACUUUUUUAAUGCAUUUUGGCUGUUCAUUUACUUGGCAACAUUUUGUAUGCAUGAAAACAAAACCUUUCAAACAGGUUUCAAUGUGCAAGUUUUUGAAAACAAUACAAUUAUCGUUUCUGUGUAAACUAAAACAUGAAUUUGUAAAUCAAUUUAAUAAAGGAUGUUUUAAUAAAAAGUUCGGGAGCAACAUGUUCAAAUGAGAAGCUGGCAGAAAGGGAAAGACUGCUGACUGGUGGAACGUGCGUUGGAGAGCUGAAGUUUAUAUGGUUUAUGCCCUGUGUUAUAUUGAGAGCUGUUAGCGUGACUUUCUGUUUGAUUGAGGAGAAUUUAAAUAAAAGCCACCAGCAGCAGUUAAGCCGACCCCGUCCUCUUCUUUCCUAUUAUAGAACAUUGUUACAGUCAUGAUUUCUUCUGUUAAAUCAUUGUGCAACAAAACACUGUCAACACUAAACUUAAAUAUGACAAAUGCAUGUAUUGUGCUUAAUUGAAAUGAUGUGCCUGAAUGAGACAGAAGAUAACCCAUCUGCUAGAUAUAAAUGAGGUUAAAUGAACAUCAGUGGAGACUUCUGCUUGAGUCUCCUGCUUCUCACUCUUGUCUCCUGAGACAAAAACACUAACACUCUCACAAUGGUCUGUAAUAAAGUUUUAGAAGAGAUCUCAAUAACAUCACA